UUUAGUUGUCUUCUGGGACAUCUUCACGUGCUCCUGGGUCCUCUCAUGUCUACACAGUGCAUGUGGUUAUCCUGGGUGAUGGAUAGAGAAAGGAAGAAGAAUGAUUUGAACACUACCUCCUGUCAAACAUCAUAUGAAUAGAUCUCUCUCAUUUGAAUGGGACCUCCGAAACAUGAAAUGCACAGCUGAUAAGUCAUUUGUAAUCAUCUCACACCCUCACCCACAUACAGAUGAGAUGCCUUGACAAGGCUUAGAUGAGGAUGGAGUAAACCGAGAUGCCACAGAAAAGAGAGGGAGAGAAGCUGAGAGAGUAGGGCAGCAGAUGAAGGCAGAUCAGUUUAAGAGGAUCAUGCUUGACUGAUAAACACUUGUUCCCUGAAAUGAGGGAUAUGUGAAAUCCCACUUCGGAGAGUUAAAACCAGAUUAAAAGGCAUUUGUAACAUUACAAAUAUCUGACUACUUAAUGCACAAUGCACAUCUUAACCGCUGUCUUCCUGAUUCAUGAUUUUCAGAGGGAGACCAGAGGCAUCAACGCACCCAAAAAGUUGUACAGACGUUAUGCAUGACACGGCUUCAGGGCCGGACCCUCACUGAAAAUCAAUAGUGAACUGAAGGAGUGCAAAGCUGAAUCGCUAUUUUGAGUGUGUGUGUGUGUGUGUGUGCAUCAGCACUUGAUCCAUUCCAACAUAGUAACGUAAUACCGCAGUAAAUCUACCAGUAGAACAUGCACGCCCCGACUUGGAGACAGCGAAGGAGCGGAAACCAUGUGAUCGAUUAACACCACCACAGGGAUGCUCUGCAGAUUUUUAAUCCCCAAUAUGCAACCACUCAAGCCCCGUCCUGAAAAAUACAACGUUUCACAACAAACGAAACUGCUGCGUUCUGAAUUAGGGAGUAGUUGGUUCAGAGUGACAGCGGGAGUGUUUGUGUGUCCAAUUUGAGGCCCGGGCUGUGUUUGUAUCCUUCUCUCUCUCUCUCUCUCUCUCUCUCUCUCAACGCGGCGACGCAUGCGCAGGUGGGCACGCGCGCUGGAGAGAACAGAUCCAAAUUCCAUGCCUUUAAAUAAAAAGUACAAGCUGAAACCUGAAGGCGCUGCAUGGGGUUGAACUUGAAGCACACAGGUCAUCGAAAUGCUUCACGUGAUCUCCAGGUUAUUGUGAAUAUGUGCCACAUGCCUCCUCGAUGUGCUUCAUACUGGACUUUUUUUAUCCCAGAGGGCACACCAUCAGGAAAUACUUUGCUUUUUUUUCUCUCCUUUUUCUUCCUUUUAAACCUCUGAAUGUAACAGCUAAUAUAAGAGAAACGCCGAGACGAGCAGCGGUGGAAGAAGUAGGUUACAAGUGAGGGUCCUGCAUUGGACAUGUUGCUCCAGUAAAUGAAGGCAUAGCAGGACAUGUCAGGAGAGCCUCACGUGCUCAGAUAGAGCCCUAGUGGUGCUCAAGCACCAGCCCUUUUGCCCUGGAUGAGAAAAGGGCCCUGGAGCCCCUUUUGUUUCCAUUCAUCAGCAUUUAGGAAUACAAAUGACUCUCUGUCAUCAAGUCCCCCCAAAUGUAUUUUGAUAUCCGACGAGGCAUUUAUUUGAGUUCUUGUGAGAAUUUCGCCCCGACAUGCUUGUACCACAUUGUUUUAUGUGGUAUGUUUCUCUUUGUUUUGUCUGUUCCAGUUUUACAAAGAUCAAUCUUGUAUGAGCAUUGCAGAGGGUGAAAAGAGUAAACGCAAGAAAAAACAACACUUGUAAUAACUAACCCAGAGUGAGGUCAUGUCGGGAAAUAACAGACUGAGGCUUUAUAACUUUUUUACAGAGGUUUGAUAUUUCACGGCAUGACCGAGCGUUCGAGGUUGGUAAGUUGUUUAUUAUAUGGCAUUUUUCGCUCAUCAUUUUGUAAAUAAAAACUAAUUGUAAUUGUUAAUAGAAAACAUUUCAUUUUGUUUAGCUCUCAUGUCUUCUCACGACACAAUGUGUUUCAAUUACUUGCUAACUUCAAGUUACAGCGAUCAAUAUACAAAUUAUUUUGCCGAUGGGUGCCCUUUGUUUUGGUUGGAAAAAGAUUAGGUGGAGCAACAGUCGACCGCACAAGGUCUCAGCAUCAUGAUCAGCUUUGGACACUAAACUGACACACACACAGAUAAUUACACAUAAAUAAGAAAGGGCCACUUUGUCCUUUUGUGUAUUUUCAUCAAAUAACACAGCGUCAUGUGACGUGUUAAUAAGACGGCUACUAUUAACCUCACCUUGUUAUUAAUGUGAAAUAAUAAUAUAAAUGUACGUAUAAUAAAUGAGCUUCUGAUGAGACACGCGCCAUGCAGCUUUUACACCAUUCACUUCAAAUAUACAAGUCAAUUAUAUUGAACUGCUGGUAUAAUACCUGUUAGAGCUGAGUAAGACAUCACUAUGGAGGUUGUCUUCAGCAGACUCAUAUAAAGGUCACCUGAGGUCAAACGCUGCUCAUCCUUAAGCAGAAGGCUGGGUCAUUCUUUUUUUCCAGAGUGGUCUUUUUGAUGGUGUGUAUGCUUUGACACACUCAAAACAAAGUACCUUUUCCAAUGUAGGGCUGUAGUGCAGCCACAGAUACUGACUGUACCACUUUGCCUGAAAGCGUAACUUCUUGUGCUGAAGGCGCUGUACUUGGAUGAACUUCGGAUCAGGCUGGUACUGGUCACUCCCCACGUCCAGGACACUGCUGCACUCACUUCAUGACAGUCACUCUGUGGCUUAAACCGACUGUUCCCGAAAGAGCAAAGAUAACUUAACCUAGUCUGCACAUGCAUGUUUUAACAUCAUAAUAAUUCACAUUAAGCAGGUAGACAAUGAUGACACUGUCAGACAUGAUGAAAACACACAAUCAGUUUAAGUUCUGAUGGUCCAGCUGCUGCUUCCUCAGCCUGCACUACAUCUGCUCUGGAUUUAUGAGUUUCCUGAAUGCAUUUCAAAAUGACGCCGGUACGCACUGUGUGGGCAGUUAGCCUUCUGACGUUACUCGCUAAUGUUAACUAACGACCUGGGCUACUUGAUAGCUACAUGUAGCCUCUCCUCUGGGUGGUGAAGACACUUUGGAUAUCGCUUUUCUUUUUUGGUGGCAUUAAUCAAAAUUUGCCUCAGAGGGCUUUACAGUCUGUUCACAUACGACAUCCCUGACCUUUGACCUCUCACAUCGGAUCAGGAAAAAAAAUAGAAAAAACAUUUCACAGGGAAAAAAGGGAAGGGACCUUCAGGAGAGCAACAGAGGAGGAUCCCUCUCCAGGAUGGACACUCUCCUCUGCUCGGCCCAGACAGGAGAAAGGAGCCGUGUCACGCCAGGCGUGAGACCGAAGGCCAAAGACCCCGACCAGGAGGAACCGUUUGUUGACUCAACACCCAUCCCCCCUUUUCCCUCUCCGUUUUAUUAAAGGUCACUUUAUGUUACUCUACCACUGUCUCUGGAUCUCUUGAUUUUGUUCAAAAUCUUGCCUCCAAGUCCCCCGUGUUGCCACAAUAUUUUAACAUCAAAUUGAUUGUGUUGACUUAAUAAAAUGAAAUGUAAUGCAGCAUGUUUCCACCAGACACACAAACACGAGCUGAAUAACAACAAUAUGAGCACCACACAAUUAAGCAUUGUAUUAAGCAGUCCUGCUUAGGAGGCUGAUUCAUUUUAUUUUAUCAGCCCGGCUGAGAGGUGCAAUCAGAAUACACCAAAUAUGAAGAAGUAUUACAGUUAUAAUUAAAUCAAACAAGUGGUGUCUUGAUAUUUAAUACAAUCCUGCUCAGGUAUGUUCACGAAAGACAAUUUGUGUCUUUGAAGGUUGUAUGUAGAUUAUUUGUGUUAUUGUUUUUUCUCCAAUUGAAUAUUAGGAGAAGUUGUAGAAACAAGUCACUGAGUCCCACAAGUGAUGAUUUUCAAUUCAAUUCAGUUUAUUUCGUAUAGCCCAUUCUCACAAAUUAGCCUCAGACGGCUUUACAAUAUGUACACAGACAUCCCUGUCCCAGAACCUUGUGAUGUCAUCAUGUUGCCGUAGACAUCCCUGUCCCAGAACCUUGUGAUGUCAUCAUGUUCCAUCAAACUCCUUCAUGUAAACCUCUUUACAUUUAACUUCACUUUGACCUUGACACCAGCCAAGACACUCAACCACACGUCUUCAGACCGCUAUUCUGAAUAAAUAUGCUGAACUUGAAGAAGUUAAGAGCCCAAAUGGUAUGUUGAUUAAUGUGUGGAUGUAUUUGUUGUCGAAGGACAAACUCAUUGAAAUAGUUUCUAAAAUGUCAUGGUCAAACUGCUGCUCACAAUGUACAUUUAAAAUCAUUUUAAUGUUUACUUACGGUUAAUUUCACAUAUAAAUUAGAGUCAGUUGAUACUUGUUUCCGAUACCGGUGCUAAACCGGUACUUUUAAAACAUACAGGUGCGUAAACCGGCCCUGAACCGAUGUUUAUUUAAAAAAUGCAAACCCUGAUUGAUCUCUUGGCCUUUUUUCUCAGCCUCUCCAUAACUGUAAAAGCUAACAAUGUAACUAUUCAGUAUGCUAGCAGCACAAUGUACAUAAUGUACAAUGGUAGGAAUUUGAUCAGGUAUUUCACAAAAUGUUGCAAGAUGUCCCUUAAUUUAAAAUCAGUGGCAGUAACAUAUACAUUAUUUAACUAAGUGUAUUCAUUCCACACAUGGGCAUUUGAAUAUCAUUUGAUUCAACUAAAUAGUACAUUUAAUUUGAGUGUUAUUAGACUGUAUGUUUUGUGUUUGGCAGUUGUUAAAUAAAAGAUGGUCUACAAAUGUAUUAAAAAAUGUCCUCUUUCAGGCGACAAUCAAUGGUGCGGCUGGCCCCGGCCUUGGUGGUCCAAGCCCCACUACAGCCAGACCUCCUCUUGCACCUACACCACAACCACCUGGGUGCAAGAGGACCUAUAAUGACGCCAAUCCGCCGGGUAUUCGCCGGUAAGUGGUGCAUCACUUCCUGUAUUGAUGAUUUACUUUGAUGGUCUGGAGAUUUAACCCUCCUGUUACCUUCACAUUUACUAACAUAUUUUACCCUCGGGGUCAAUUUGACCCCAGCAAUUAAAACCUCCAGAAAAUUAUUAGAAUUAAUAUUGUUUCCCAAGUUUAAGUGUGAGGUACUUUGUGUUUGUUUGUUGACUACCUAAAUAGCCCUUUAAAUAUAUAAAAAAGUUGAUAUUUCUUAUAUGUUUGACAGUGAAAAACAGCCUGGGGUCAAAUUGACCCCAAAGAACACCGACGUUAAACAUUGAAUGGGGUCAAAUUGACCCUAAAGGUAACAGGAGGGUUAAACAACUUUUUGUUUUAUGCAACAGCCCAAACAACCCCGGACCAGCCAACAAGCGCACGAGAACAGAGGAACACGUGGGACAAGUGGUGAGUCUAUACUUAUAUCAAUGUAGUUGUCAUCAUUGGUCUCAGCCUCUACAUAACUGUAAAAGGUAUCAAUGCAGUCGGCUAACAGACACAAUGUACAAUGGUAGCAAUGUGUUCAGGUGUUCCACAAUAACAAGAUAAAUGCCACUUCAUUUGAAAUCAGGGGCAGUAAUAACAGACAUUAUUUCACUAAGUGUUUAUCAUUCUACACAUGGGGAUUUGAAUAUCCUUUGAUUCAACGAAGUAAUACAUUUAAUGUACGUGUUAUUUGACAGUUGUUUAUGGUUAAAUAAAAGACAGUCUAAAAAUGUUGGAAAAAUGUCCUCUUUUAGACUCCUAUUAGUGUUGCGGCUCGCUUCAGCUUCCAGACUACAGCCAGACCCCCUCUUGCACCUACACCUGGGUGCAAGAGGACCUAUAAUGACGUCAAUCUCCAGGGUAUUCGCCGCCCAAACAACCCCGGACCAGCCAACAAGCGGAAAACAGAGGAACACGUGGGACAAGUGACUCAUUCUGCACAUUAGCCACGACGUGAGACGAAGAGGGCUUUGGAGGACGUCUCAUAUAAGCCCGAACAGCCCAGGACCUGACAGGAGAGCCCCAAGAAGAACAUCGACUCCCAGGAUGGACCGGAUGUAUAUAUUUUAAUGUUUUGUAUUUGUAUUGUAUUGUAUUGUAUUUUUUGUUUAAUCUUGCACUGUGAUGCAUUUGAAAUACAUCUUCCAUUUUACUGUAUAAUGAAACGAUCUUCUACUGUAUUGUAUUUCAUAUUCAUUGCCAUUGUAUGUUUUUGCAAUUACAUCAGCCAGUGUAUUUGCAAUAAAUCUUACAUGGCAUUGAAUUUGAAAUACAUCUUACAUUUUUUGUAUUGUAAAAGAUCUUUCACUGUAUUGUAUUUCAAAUGCAUCUUCUAUUGUAUUGUAUUGUAUUGUAUUUUUUUGUUUAAUCUUGUACUGUGAUGCAUUUGAAAUACAUCUUCCAUUUUAUUGUAUUAUGAAAUGAUCUUCCACUGUAUUGUAUUUCAUUUUCAUUGCCAUUGUAUGUUCUUGCAAUUACAUCAGCCAGUGUAUUUGCAAUAGAUCUUACAUGGCAUUGAAUUUGAAAUACAUCUUCCAUUUUCUGUAUUGUAAAAAGAUCUUUCACUGUAUUGUAUUUCAAAUGCAUCUUAUAUUGUAUUUUAUUUUAUUGUUUUGUAUUGUUUUCAUCUGUCAUUGUAUUGUAUUGUAUUGUUUUCUUCUGUCAUUGUAUUGUAUUGUAUUAUUUUGUUUUCUUCUGUCAUUGUAUUGUAUUGUAUUGUAUUUACCUGUAAUUGUAUUUUUUGUCCCUGCGACCCUAAUGGAUGGAUGGAUGGAUGUAUUUUAUUGGAAGUACAUCAGCCAUUGGCUGUCCAAUAAAUCUUAAAUUGUUCCCUGCACUAAAGUCUUUUCCUGUCUCUUGAUUAUUUUGUUUAAAAACACGUGUAUUAAACUUAAAGAUAUGCACAACAUACAUGACAGUA